GCUGGCGUAGCUCAGUGGCAGAGCGCGGGAUUUGUAAUCCCGCGGGCGUGGGUUCGACCCCCACCGCCAGCU
rnacentral:tRNA from 3 species